rnacentral:rRNA from 1 species
UACCCGCGGCCCGAGUGGUGCUCAUUAUUAUUGAGCCUAAAGCGUCCGUAGCUGGCCGGGCAAAUCUCCGGGUAAAUCGGGCCGCUCAACGGUCCGAAUUCCGGAGACACUGCUCGGCUUGGGAUCGGGAGAGGGUGAAGGUACUCCCGGGGUAGGGGUAAAAUCCUGUAAUCCUGGGGGGACCACCAGUGGCGAAGGCGUUCACCUAGAACGAAUCCGACAGUGAGGGACGAAGCCCUAGGGCGCAAACGGGAUUAGAUACCCCGGUAGUCUAGGGUGUAAACGCUGCAGACUUGGUGUUGGGGGUCCUGCGUGGGCUCCCAGUGCCGGAGCGAAGGUGUUGAGUCUGCCGCUUGGGGAGUACGGUCGCAAGACUGAAACUUAAAGGAAUUGGCGGGAGAGCACCGCAACGGGAGGAGCGUGCGGUUCAAUUGGAUUCAACGCCGGAAAACUCACCGGAGGCGACGGAGGGAUGAAAGCCAGGCUGAAGACCUUGCCCGAUUCUCCGAGAGGUGGUGCAUGGCCGUCGUCAGUUCGUACCGUAAGGCGUUCUGUUAAGUCAGAUAACGAACGAGACCCUCGCCGUUAGUCGCGAUCUUACAAGCGAUUGUAGGAGCACACUAGCGGGAUCGCUGCCGUUAAGGCAGAGGAAGGAGAGGUCUACGGUAGGUCCGUAUGCCCCGAAUCUCCCGGGCAACACGCGCGCUACAAAGGUGGGGACAAUGGGAUCCGACCCCGCAAGGGGAAGGCAAUCCUGAAACCCCAUCGUAGUCUGGAUUGAGGGCUGUAACUCGCCCUCAUGAAUGUGGAUUCCGUAGUAAUCGCGGGUCAACAGCCCGCGGUGAAUAUGCCCCUGCUCCU